rnacentral:rRNA from 1 species
UACGUAGGGGGCAAGCGUUGUCCGGAUUUAUUGGGCGUAAAGAGCGUGUAGGCGGCUUGACAGGUCUGCUGUGAAAACUCGAGGCUCAACCUCGAGAUGUCGGCGGAAACCGUCUGGCUAGAGUACAGAAGAGAAGAGUGGAAUUCCACGUGUAGCGGUGAAAUGCGUAGAGAUGUGGAGGAACACCAGUGGCGAAGGCGACUCUUUGGUCUGUAACUGACGCUGAGGCGCGAAAGCGUGGGGAGCAAACAGG